UGUGUCAUGUGAAAGACCACCCUCUAGGACCAGACUAUGCCUUGUGUGGGAAAUUUACAACUAGGAGUCUUGUUUUAACUUUAGAAUGACCACAGUUUAAUCAGACAGAGCAUUGGCAUGAAAGAAGAGGAUGUAUAUGCCAUUUCCCAUGAAGUUCUGGUUAACUGUGAGAGUGUAUGGGUAUGUCUGUGUGUAAGUAAUACAAAUACAGCAAUCCUUUGAUCUGCAACCUGCCCCUUGCUUACUUAGGAUUUUCAUUUGUGGGGCUGCAGAUAGAAGAGAGGGCAAGGAAUCUGCCAUUACAGGUCUGAUGUACACUGUCAAAACAGCUGAUGUGAGAUUUUAGGACUAGGACAGGAGAAAGUGCUCUUGACCAGUUGGUGGCACUGUUCGACUUUCUGGGGUGUAAAAUGUGGUUCCCUGCCUGAUCUGCCUUCAAGGCAGAAAGAUUAUCACAACCCAGCCUCCUUCUUGUGAGAUCUUCAGUAUCUACCCUCAAAAUCUACCUUAGCAUAACCUUAGGAGAAAUUUUACUCUGAAACAAUACUAACUCCAUGUUUAUGGUUUUUCUCCACACAACAGUGACAUUGAUUGGAAGACACCUCAAAGAACAUUUGUCUGAUCCCCUACCAGUGUAGUAAUCCAAGGUGAAAAUGCUUCUUACAGUUCAUUAUGAAUUUGAUGAAAAUCUUGAUCCAGCUACGUCAGCCAAUCAUGCUACUUUGCCUGUAUCAGCAAACCAUGAAUCAUCAAACACAGUGGCUGUGAAUUCUUCUGAUGUGGGAAGGAUAAAGAUAAAAAUUGUAUAAAGAGACCUGAACAUUUCC
rnacentral:lncRNA from 11 species